rnacentral:rRNA from 1 species
UACGUAGGAUGCGAGCGUUAUCCGGAUUUAUUGGGUUUAAAGGGUGCGCAGGCGGCACGGCAAGCCGGCGGUCAAAUCGCGGGGCUCAACCCCGCCCAGCCGUCGGAACUGCCGGGCUAGAGUGGGCGAGAAGUGCGCGGAAUGCGUGGUGUAGCGGUGAAAUGCAUAGAUAUCACGCAGAACUCCGAUUGCGAAGGCAGCGCACCGGCGCCCUACUGACGCUCAGGCACGAAAGCGUGGGUAUCGAACGGG